GCAAUAGUCCUAACCUUAUAGCCACGCCUAGAGCCUACACCUUCGAGCCACACCUUAAAGGCAAGAUGAAUCAUGGAGUAUAUCUGUGCUGCUCCCGGGUCUAUACCAUACAGUAUACUGAUUACUCUAAUACAGUAGCAUCUACACAGCAACCGCUAUUGAGCACACUAUUUAAUGUCUUUGUUUCUCUCAAGCUUAGGAUUUAUGCUUACUAAAAGUAUCAAGUAUUUCAUUUAAUCUAAUUCAAGUAUCAAGCUAUGUAGUAUCAGGAGCACAGGACUAUACAUGCAUGACAAACAUUGUA